rnacentral:ribozyme from 1 species
CUCUCUUUCCCACUCGAGCUUCCACCCCUUUCCCCGCUGCUGCAUCUCUCUUCGUCUGCCUCUCGCUCACUCGCUCCCUUUCCACAGCGGACACGAAAAGGAACAC